UACAGCCAUAUCUCGUUAAAACACCGGUUCUCGUACGAUCACCGAAGUUAAGCAACGCCGAACCUGGUUAGUGCCAUUAUGGGUGACCUUUUGAGAAUGCCAAA